AAGAGGUAUUGAAGAAAAUUCUCUUUUUUUUUUAAAAUUUUUAGUCUUAAUAUACAAAAGGAAAUAUAAAAUAAAUUUUUAUUUUAAGUUAUAGAUAUUAACUUCCUAAAGCAAACCACUUCAAAAGAAUUUUUUUAUUUUUUAUUUUAUUUCUAGAAUUGGUAUGCUAAAGAAACUUCUAACGGAAAUAUAAAAUGCAAAAUCUCUCUCUCUCUCUCUCUCUUUUUUUUUUGAUUUUUGAGUUAUAACACACUUUUUGAAAUACAAAAUAGAAAGUACAAUAACAAAAUAUUCGACAUUACUGUACAAAACUAGAAGGUAAAAGACGACAUAAAAAGAAAAACAGACUGAAAACAUAAAAAACUAACUACAAUAACCCUGAAUGAGCAACUCCUGAAUGAGCGAUCCUGACUGGAUGGUCCCGAGGUGUCUGUCAUGUUCAAACUCCGGUAAGUAGAUCCACACCCCAUGAGAAAAUUAAAAAAAAAUAAAGUUAAAGACUAGAACGCUAUGUGAGACAAUAACCCUUCCUGUUAGGCACAUGCAAGACAUGAUUGUGACUAUUUUUCUAAAACUAACUUAUGUGGCUAAAAGUGGCUAAAAAUGCAAGAUUUGGCUAAGACCUAGGGAAGCCAAGAAUGUAAGACUCCCUAGGAAGACCGGAUCCUAUGUGGUAUGCCUACGUAUCAUGCCCCGAAAGACGAGAAUCAAGUAUGCGUAGUUCAGGCAAAUUGGAUACAGGCGAGAAUAAAAAACAACUAAUUUAGAGAAAAAAAAUUGUCUCUUUUUUUUUUUUGAAAAAUGAUGAAACAUGUAAAAUCUUUUUGGAUGUUUUUUUUGAUUUUUGGAAAAUGAUGAAAAAGUGCAAAAUCUUUUUUUUUUUUUGAAUUCUUCACUUUUUUUCUUAACAAAAAUAUGACAGAAAAACAUAAUUAGGUCCUACUUGCUUUAUUCUCACACUUCACCUUCUCUUUUUUUUUCUUUUUUUUUUCCUAUUCAUUUUCCCUCAACAAUUAUUGGUCCGCUAAAUGACCCUUUUACCCUUGAAGAAAUGCAACAUGUAGCACAUAGGAUGCAUCAAGAUAGUCUGUUAUUUUGGGUACACAUGUCCUAGACGGACCCAACCCCUGUAUUGAGUCCCCUAAAUCAAAUGCACUUGAUGCAAACAAACGUUCCUACCUGGGAUCUGGCAUGAGACUGUGUUUUUCUAGGUUUAAAUCCUGGGGUUAUGUUCUAGACUUGGGUUACCCGAGCGGACAACCGAAGAGAGGGGGCAACGUACCGGGAGCACUAAAGUCUACCUGGCCUUGCUGCUGGACCAACCUCAUUCUAUUUGGAAUACUUUCUACAUAAAAAGUGGGCCACGCGAAUGUGUGCAACAUUUUCAGACGACUCAGAGGGGUGGCGUAAGAAGAAAGUUAUAUACAAUUCAAAAAAUAUUAAAGCGGUAAACAGAUAGCAUUUAGCACAAAAGGUUCAGAGAAUACAACAAUAUGAACAAUAAAUGAAGCUAAGUAAAAAUCAUAUUAACAAGCUCGAAUUCUUGAAGCCUGAACCAGAGAUUCUAGGUUCUUGUCCCCAAUAGAGUUGCAAGAGCUGUCGCACCUCGUUUUUACUACCCCCGAGAGGGUGUAAGGGAGUUUUUUCCAUUUUAAGUGACAAUCGAAAUGAGAUUAUUAUUUAAGAUUAGAGUCGCCACUUGAGAUAACUUAUGGUGUCCCAAGUCACCGGUUUAAAAUCCCGAAUCAAGGAGAUUUGACACUAUUUACAGUCUGUGAACACAAAAAUCCGGGUAAUAAAUUAUGUUAACUAGGGAGAAGGUGUUAGGCAUUCCCGAGUUCCGUGGUUCUAGCACGGUCGCUUUGAUCAUACUUGGCUUAAUAGAAUUGUCGAAUUAAUGAUUUUAAAACCUAUGUGCAUUUGCCUCUUUUAAUUAGGAAAUUAUCUUGAAACGGAUCACGUGCACGUGUACUCGUUUCAUUUGGCGCGUAAAAAAUCAUGUCACGCGUACGUGUCCACAAUUUAUCACACUUUAUUAUUAUUAAAAUAUUUUGGUCAAAGUUGCACGAACGCAUACUCCGGGUUUGUUUUUAGAUAGAUUAAGUCGCGCUUAAAGCAUUUUCUACGAAUAUUCAUCUUAGAAACCAUAAUCAUGUCACGCGAAUAUAUACAUAAUCAAGAUAAUAAAUUAGUAUCAAUACACAAAUAGUACAAGAGAACCCAUUUUUACGAUCAACAUAUUUUAAUCAAAUGUUCACAAGGUACGAUUAAACAACUAAAGUUCUUUCAAUCAAAUGUUCACAAGGUACGAUUCUUGGAUUCUAGUGAACCAAACCCUUAUCGUAAAUCAAGAACUUGAUAUUCAAAGAAAUUAAUAUGAAUAAAAUCAAGAAAUGAUCAAAUUAAAUCCCUAUUAAGCCAAAAGAGAAAUUUAUACCCCCCCCCCCCCCCCAAAAAAAACGAGCUAAAGGAACUGACCUAGUUGAGUAUUAAGACCAUAACGCCUAUUGCCACUUUAUUGCUGAAAUUUCUAGCAGGUACAUUAAAAGAGAAGCUCCAAAACAGUAAUCCCAAACCAGUUAUAGACUAGAAACUAGAACCGAAAUCACAACCUCGAAUAGACCUAGCUCGACCGGCUGAUUUUCACAUUGGUUCAGGGUAGUUUUUCAAUGGUUUAAGACUGGUUUUGAAGUUGACAAUAGGGAAGGAAGCCUGUUGGUGGUCGCCGAAUUAUUUUUCCGGUCAGCUCGUAAGUAAAUUUCCGGUCAGACCUGAAUUUCACGUAACAUCAAAUAAACGAUAAAAGUAACUGAAGUGAGAUCGAAACCAGUGGUUAUUAGCUCGUUUUUGUCUCUUCACUUUUGUUUUCUUUUCUUUUCCGCAAGUUACUGCUAAUUUCCUUUAGACCUUUGGUUGCUAGGUUCAGGGAGAUGGGGUGGUUAAUUUUUGAAGGUUAGAGAUGGGUUUUUAUUUGCUAAUGGAGAAAGGGGGAACGCCUAAGGCUUCAUCUUUUUGGUGGGAUUUUCGGUUCGUUCGUUUCUCUAUUCUGAAGAAGACAAUGACAGGGGACGUGGGGUCUUCUUUUUGGAAAACGGCGGAUUGUCCUUGUCCCUAGUUUUAGGCAUUAGGUUUGAAU
rnacentral:lncRNA from 1 species